rnacentral:sRNA from 1 species
GCCGGGCGUGGUGGCUCACGCCUGUAAUCCCAACACUUUGGGAGGCCGAGGCGGGUGGAUCACCUGAGGUCAGGAGUUCCAGACCAGCCUGGCCAACAUGGUGAAAGCCCAUCUCUA